AGCGAACGCUGGCGGCAGGCCUAACACAUGCAAGUCGAACGAACUCUUCGGAGUUAGUGGCGGACGGGUGAGUAACACGUGGGAACGUGCCUUUAGGUUCGGAAUAACUCAGGUAACUUGUGCUUAUACCGAAUGUGCCCUUCGGGGGAAAGAUUUAUCGCCUUUAGAGCGGCCCGCGUCUGAUUAGCUAGUUGGUGAGGUAAAGGCUCACCAAGGCGACGAUCAGUAGCUGGUCUGAGAGGAUGAUCAGCCACAUUGGGACUGAGACACGGCCCAAACUCCUACGGGAGGCAGCAGUGGGGAAUCUUGCGCAAUGGGCGAAAGCCUGACGCAGCCAUGCCGCGUGAAUGAUGAAGGUCUUAGGAUUGUAAAAUUCUUUCACCGGGGACGAUAAUGACGGUACCCGGAGAAGAAGCCCCGGCUAACUUCGUG
rnacentral:rRNA from 1 species